AUUGAACGCUGGCGGAAUGCUUUACACAUGCAAGUCGAACGGCAGCACGGACUUCGGUCUGGUGGCGAGUGGCGAACGGGUGAGUAAUGUAUCGGAACGUGCCCAGUCGUGGGGGAUAACGUAGUGAAAAUUACGCUAAUACCGCAUACGAUCUAUGGAUGAAAGCGGGGAUCGCAAGACCUCGCGCGAUUGGAGCGGCAGAUAUCAGAUUAGGUAGUUGGUGGGGUAAAGGCCCACCAAGCCAACGAUCUGUAGCUGGUCUGAGAGGACGACCAGCCACACUGGAACUGAGACACGGUCCAGACUCCUACGGGAGGCAGCAGUGGGGAAUUUUGGACAAUGGGCGAAAGCCUGAUCCAGCCAUUCCGCGUGCAGGAUGAAGGCCCUCGGGUUGUAAACUGCUUUUGUACAGAACGAAAAGGUUUCUACUAAUACUAGGAGCUCAUGACGGUACUGUAAGAAUAAGCACCGGCUAACUACGUGCCAGCCGCCGCAGUAA
rnacentral:rRNA from 1 species